rnacentral:tRNA from 1 species
AUCAAGAUGGCCACAAAGCACUUUUUCAUUGUAAAUGAAAUAUCAAAAAUGAUCACAUCUCAA